AGCGAACGCUGGCGGCAGGCUUAACACAUGCAAGUCGAGCGGGCACUUCGGUGUCAGCGGCAGACGGGUGAGUAACACGUGGGAACGUACCCUUUGGUUCGGAAUAACGCUGGGAAACUAGCGCUAAUACCGGAUACGCCCUUUUGGGGAAAGGCUUGCUGCCGAAGGAUCGGCCCGCGUCUGAUUAGCUAGUUGGUGGGGUAAUGGCCUACCAAGGCGACGAUCAGUAGCUGGUCUGAGAGGAUGAUCAGCCACACUGGGACUGAGACACGGCCCAGACUCCUACGGGAGGCAGCAGUGGGGAAUAUUGGACAAGGGGCGCAAGCCUGAUCCAGCCAUGCCGCGUGAGUGAUGAAGGCCUUAGGGUUGUAAAGCUCUUUUGUCCGGGACGAUAAUGACGGUACCGGAAGAAUAAGCCCCGGCUAACUUCGUG
rnacentral:rRNA from 1 species